CCGGAGGAAGGUGGGGAUGACGUCAAGUCCUCAUGGCCCUUAUCGGUAGGGCUUCACACGUCAUACAAUGGUCGGUACAGAGGGUUGCAACCGCGAGGGGGAGCUAAUCCCACAAAGACCGAUCCGUAGUCCGGAUCGCAGUCUGCAACUCGACUGCGUGAAGUCGGAAUCGCUAGUAAUCGUGGAUCAGCAUGUCACGGUGAAUACGUUCCCGGGUCUU
rnacentral:rRNA from 1 species